rnacentral:siRNA from 1 species
UACCACGCAGUUGCCCAACGUAAA